rnacentral:rRNA from 1 species
UACGAAGGGGGCUAGCGUUGUUCGGAAUUACUGGGCGUAAAGCGCGCGCAGGCGGUUCUCCAAGUCAGUGGUGAAAGCCCGAAGCUCAACUCCGGAACUGCCAUUGAAACUGUUGAACUUGAGGACGAGAGAGGUGAGUGGAAUUCCCAGUGUAGAGGUGAAAUUCGUAGAUAUUGGGAAGAACACCAGUGGCGAAGGCGGCUCACUGGCUCGUAUCUGACGCUCAGGCGCGAUAGCGUGGGGAUCAAACAGG